GACCAGACUCCUACGGGAGGCAGCAGUGGGGGAUAUUGCACAAUGGGGGGAACCCUGAUGCAGCGACGCCGCGUGGGUGAAGGAGUAUUUCGGUAUGUAAAGCCCUAUCGGCAGGGAAGAAGCAAGACGGUACCUGACUAAGAAGCCCCGGCUAACUACGUGCCAGCAGCCGCGGUAAUACGUAGGGGGCGAGCGUUAUCCGGAUUCACUGGGUGUAAAGGGAGCGUAGACGGCCAAGCAAGCCAGGGGUGAAAGCCCGGGGCCCAACCCCGGGGCUGCCGUUGAAACCGGAGCGCUAGAAUUCCGAUGCCGUCGGAGGAAUGUGUGGUGUAGCGGUGAAAUGCAUAGGUAUCACACAGAACACCGAUUGCGAAGGCAUCUGACGAAUCGGAGAUUGACGCUGAUGCACGAAAGCGUGGGUAUCGAACAGGAUUAGAACCCCCGUA
rnacentral:rRNA from 1 species